AGUGAGGUAGUGGUAUGACAACAAAGUUUGAAUGUUUCUGGAAGCCAUGUUGAUUAAGAAAUUUCGGUUUAAGAGAAAGGUAUGGUUUUAGAAAUAGAUUUCGGUUUAGGAGAAAGGAUUUAAAUAUAUUGGUGAGGGUUUGGAGGAGGGGAGUUAGGAGAUAUGGUUUAUGGAAAUCAAUUAGAUAGGUUUUAGGGGGAGUGAAGUUAGGAAAUCAUGGUUAGGGUUUCGAGGAGGGGAAUUAGGAAAUAUGGUUAGGUUUUGAAGGAGGGAAAAGUUGCUAAAAUAUUAGGUUAAAAUAUUAGGUUAAAAUUAGGGCAACCAAGCUUUGUUUAGGAAUAAGAGAUUUCGGUUUAGGAGAAAGGAUUUAAAUAUAUUGGUGAGGGUUUGGAGGAGGGGAGUUAGGAGAUAUGGUUUAUGGAAAUCAAUUAGAUAGGUUUUAGGGGGAGUGAAGUUAGGAAAUCAUGGUUAGGGUUUCGAGGAGGGGAAUUAGGAAAUAUGGUUGAUUAAGAAAUUUCGGUUUAAGAGAAAGGUAUGGUUUUAGAAAUAGAUUUCGGUUUAGGAGAAAGGAUUUAAAUAUAUUGGUGAGGGUUUGGAGGAGGGGAGUUAGGAGAUAUGGUUUAUGGAAAUCAAUUAGAUAGGUUUUAGGGGGAGUGAAGUUAGGAAAUCAUGGUUAGGGUUUCGAGGAGGGGAAUUAGGAAAUAUGGUUAGGUUUUGAAGGAGG
rnacentral:lncRNA from 1 species